GACGAACGCUGGCGGCGUGCUUAACACAUGCAAGUCGAACGGUAAGGCCCUGCUUUUGUGGGGUGCUCGAGUGGCGAACGGGUGAGUAACACGUGAGUAACCUGCCCCCUACUUUGGGAUAACGUCCGGAAACUGGGGCUAAUACCGGAUAUGAGCUCCUGCUGCAUUGUGGGGGUUGGAAAGUGUCGGGGGUUGGGGAUGGUCUCGCGGCUUAUUAGCUUGUUGGUGGGGUAGUGGCUUACCACGGGGUCGACGGGUAGUCGGCCUGGGAGGGUGAGCGGCCACAUUGGGACUGGGAUACGGCCCAGACUCCUACGGGGGGCAGCAGUGGGGAAAAUUGCACAAUGGGCGGGAGCCUGAUGCAGCAACGCCGCGUGCGGGAUGACGGCCUUCGGGUUGUAACCCGCUUUCGCCGGUGACGAAGCGUGAGUGACGGUAAUGGGUAAAGAAGCACCGGCUAACUACGUG
rnacentral:rRNA from 1 species